UGGCACUGUGUGUCUCUCCAUCCUGCUCGUAGUAGUGGUCUUCUGGUUCCUUGUUGAGAACUCUGUGCUUGACAAAUAUGUUCGCUACAUCCUGACCAUCUACCCUGUGGUUAUUGUGGCUCUGACCGGAAACAUGACCAAGAACUACGACUCCGCAGCUCCCAGUCGCAAUGGGAUUUUUAUUGCCGUGCUGCUGGGUCUGGCGUGCCUGCUGUUUGUCCUGAGGGUCGUGUUAGUGUUGUGGAGGCACUUCAACAGGCCUUUCUACUCAGGCAUUGAUUCUGAAGAGGUCGUAUCACUGAGAGAGAUCGCUGAGAGGCAGAAAAAGAUAUUUAUCUAAGAAAAACACUUGCAUUCCAUGCCGUCGUAAGACUGAAAUGUGUCUGGGUAGCGACUAUUCAUGAGCAAGAUUUAUUUUUACACUCAG
ensembl:lncRNA